rnacentral:rRNA from 1 species
UACGUAGGGGGCAAGCGUUGUCUGGAUUUAUUGGGCGUAGAGAGCGUGUAGGCGGCUUGACAGGUCUGCUGUGAAAACUCGAGGCUCAACCUCGAGAUGUCGGCGGAAACCGUCUGGCUAGAGUCCGGAAGAGGAGAGUGGAAUUCCUGGUGUAGCGGUGAAAUGCGCAGAUAUCAGGAAGAACACCUAUGGCGAAGGCAGCUCUCUGGGACGGUACUGACGCUGAGACGCGAAAGCGUGGGGAGCGAACAGG